UACGUAGGCAGCAAGCGUUGUUCGGAAUUACUGGGCGUAAAGAGUGUGUAGGCGGUGCUCUAAGUUCGGUGUGAAAUCUCCCGGCUCAACUGGGAGGGUGCGCCGAAAACUGGGGUGCUGGAGCGCGGGAGAGGAAAGCGGAAUUCCUGGUGUAGCGGUGAAAUGCGUAGAUAUCAGGAGGAACACCGGUGGUGUAGACGGCUUUCUGGACCGUAACUGACGCUGAAACACGAAAGCGUGGGUAGCAAACAGG
rnacentral:rRNA from 1 species